CUUCAAUUCCCAUAGCUUUUUUCCUUGUCUUUUAAUGUUUUAAGCAGUACUACUGUUGCCAGAGGUCACUUCACCUUCCUCCUUCCCCCAUUUCCCCCAGAAGUACUGCCUGAGUGGGGCUGUGGUCUAGAAUUGUGCACCCUCUUAAGUCUCCAUAGUCACUGCAGUGGUUCAUGAGGACUCAUGAUGAUGAUGAUGAUGAUGAUGAUCAGAACUCGAUGAUGAUGAUGAUGAUGAUCAGGACCCAUGAUGAUGAUGAUGAUGAUGAUCAGGACUCAUGAUGAUGAUGAUGAUGAUCAGGACUCAUGAUGAUGAUGAUGAUCAGGACUCAUGAUGAUGAUGAUGAUGAUCAGGACUCAUGAUGAUGAUGAUGAUCAGGACUCAUGAUGAUGAUGAUGAUGAUGAUCACGACUCAUGAUGAUGAUGAUGAUGAUGAUCAGGACUCGAUGAUGAUGAUGAUCAGGACUCAUGAUGAUGAUGAUGAUGAUGAUGAUCAGGACUCGAUGAUGAUGAUGAUCAGGACUGAUGGUGAUGAUGAUGAUGAUCAGGACUCGAUGAUGAUGAUCAGGACUCAUGAUGAUGAUGAUGAUGAUCAGGAUUCAUGAUGAUGAUGAUGAUGAUCAGGACUCAUGAUGAUGAUGAUGAUGAUCAGGACUGAUGGUGAUGAUGAUGAUGAUCAGAACUCAUGAUGAUGAUGAUGAUCAGGACUCAUGAUGAUGAUGAUGAUGAUGAUCAGGACUCAUGAUGAUGAUGAUGAUGAUGAUCAGGACUCAUGAUGAUGAUGAUCAGGACUCGAUGAUGAUGAUGAUCAGGACUCAUGAUGAUGAUGAUGAUGAUCAGGACUCAUGAUGAUGAUGAUGAUAAUCAGGACUCGAUGAUGAUGAUGAGGACUCAUGAUGAUGAUGAUGAUCAGGACUCAAUGAUGAUGAUGAUGAUCAGGACUCAUGAUGAUGAUGAUUAUAAUGAUGAUCAGGACUCGAUGAUGAUGAUCAGGACUGAUGAUGAUGGUGAUGAUGAUCAGGACUCAUGAUGAUGAUGAUCAGGACUCAUGAUGAUGAUGAUGAUGAUCAGGACUCAUGAAGAUGAUGAUGAUGAUCAGAACUCAUGAUGAUGAUGAUGAUCAGAACUCAUGAUGAUGAUGAUCAGGACUCAUGAUGAUGAUGAUGAUGAUGAUCAG
rnacentral:lncRNA from 10 species